GCUCGUAGUUGGAUUUGUGGUGUACUUCGGCGGCCCGUCACUAUGUGAUGGAGCUUGCUGAAGUCGCCAUCCUUGGGUGGAUCCUGUGUGGCAUUAAGUUGUCGUGCAGGGGAUGCCCAUCGUUUACUGUGAAAAAAUUAGAGUGUUCAAAGCAGGCUUAUGCCGUUGAAUAUAUUAGCAUGGAAUAAUAAGAUAGGACCUUGGUACUAUUUUGUUGGUUUGCGCACCAAGGUAAUGAUUAAUAGGGACAGUUGGGGGUAUUCGUAUUUCAUUGUCAGAGGUGAAAUUCUUGGAUUUUUGAAAGACGAACUACUGCGAAAGC
rnacentral:rRNA from 1 species